rnacentral:lncRNA from 1 species
UUCACUCCACAAUGGAUCACCAUUAGCAUCAGUUCCGUAACGUUUAACCUCUUCAAAGUAGGGGUGCUUGGCUGCCAAGUCUCGAAGCUUGUCCUGAAUUAAUUGAAGUGGCAUAUUGGAAGGAAAUAAAUGCGAAAGUGCAGGAAGGGGAGUAGUUGAAGUUGUUGAGAAAACCAAUUCAUCUAAAACCAAUCCUAAUAAUAAGCUAUCGGGAGCUGAAUUUUCUUUUGUUGAUUCUGAGUAAUCAUGGCUAGAAGGGAGGGAUUCAUUACUGUCAUUAGUGUUCUCAUCAACAGCAGAGAUGCUUUCGUAGUCUUCAGGUUCCUUCUUUUCCACAACUGCUGAACUCAAUUCAGGAGCCAUUGGCUCAACUUCGUUCACUGGGGAAUCAUUUGAAGUUGUAAUAUUAGAAUUCUUUGAGUCAUCAUUAUGGUUUGUAAAAUUAAGUUCAGAGAUAACGUCCGUUAGUCCAGCGGACGAUUCAUCAAUUUGUAUAACGCUAUCCCGUCUUACUGUUAUAGGCUCUUUUGACUCUUCAAUUGGAGUGUAUUCUUCACCUUCACUAAUUUCCUCAUUUUUAUCAAGAUCAUCACUCUCGAUUUUUUCGUUCUCAAAAGAAACCUUAACUUCUCUUAAAACGAUGUUAUUAUCAUCAGUGCCAUUGAGUAAAUCGUCGGUGUUCUUUGGGAGAAAAGAUGGUUUUAAUUGUGUAUUUUUGGAACAAUCAGACUUUUCCACCUGACCAUCUUUUUCUAAGGCAAGAAGCUUUUGUAACAAAUCUUUGGAUGGAGGAGGAUAUACUAAUUCGUUACUACGCAAGUUUAGCUUAGGAAUGGAUUCGGAAUUAGUGUACAAUAUGAGAUGAUUCUGAUCGUUUUGAUAGUCUUGAGAAGGAGGUGAUGAAGGCAUCAAAGGUAAAGCUUCUUGAGGUGAAGGAGACAUAGGUUCACGAUUUUCUUCAUAAUUUUUAGCAUUAAGAUUUCCUUCCCAUUCAUCUUCAGAAUCACUUGGCCAACCAAGAAGAACUCGGUAACCGAAUACAUCCAGUACAGGACAAGCAUCCGAAUUCGGUCUUACCAGGACAAUCCGAUCAUUUUUCUUCAUGUGGAAUACUGACUUCCUCAUUUUAUCAGACACAAUCAUCCCAUUCCAACCCACGCACUCAAUAAUCAUGCGGUCUUGUGUACAAGUUACAAUAGCAUGUACACGAGAAAUUGCUUUAUCAACCGUGGAUAGGACAUGGUCACAUUGUUGACUAGAACGGCCAAUUUUAUUAACGCGAUGUGAACGCAUCCGUACAAAAGACAUUGGAGAAAGUGGCUCUCUUCUCACUGCAGAAGCAGGCGAAGAGGGGGCAUAGAAUGUAUUACUAGAUGGCUCAGGCGUGAGGACGAAUUGGCCUAAAUUAAUAUUAGUAAAAGUUAGAUUCAAGUCAAUUGGUAAAGAGGCAUGAUUCUCUUUUGGUUUACACAGUUUUCUUAACUAAUCACCGUGGAAUCAACCUUACCCAAUUGAGGCUUCUCAAAAGUCAUUGAUUGAUUUGGAUGUUUUGAGAGCCAACUUUUCUUGUGAGAAGCCAUAGGCGAUGAAGAGGGAAUUGGAGAAGGCAGUAGCACAUUUUGGCUAGAAAUGUUCAUACUGGCCAAAGGAGUAUUCAAACAAUUAAGGUUGAAUUGUAACGCGAAGUAUUGUCGUGAUUUAAAGAAGGAAUGAAUUUCAAAAUAACAUAAAUCGAUUAUUGUAACAAAACAAGGCAAGAUUACAAAAGAUCCGUGAUCAAGGUGCCUUGUUUCAAAAAGUGUGAACUAGAAAAACAAAGAGUGUAUAUUAAUAAAGGAAAAAAUAGAAGCACGAAUUAGUAAUUUUUAGGUUAAUGCCUGGGUAUAAACACGCUAUGAUGUUCGAGCUUUACACCAAAAACAAAGGUUAAACAAAGCUAUGUUUCAUGCAAGACGAGAAGAAACGAGAGUAACCCAGUGCACAAAGAUUUUUUUCAAAUUAAAUGAGCGUAUUCUUCUCUAAACCCUUUCUGUGUUGAAAGAUUGGUUAUAUAAUUUACAUUUUGCCUGAGAUAUGUGUUUAUAUAUGAUGGAUGGUCGCGCGUCGUGCCGAGCCGCGUCGCGACGCGUUUUAUUGAUUUUGAAGCGCGAUGUCGAAAAACGCGAUUUCAAAGGGAGCUUGUUCCUUGAGGCUAAAGUUCAAGGCACAAUAAAGGUGCAUGCAUAUCUGCGUAUACUGUUUGGUAGUAACAAAAUUUUAAACACAAAGAAUAAUCCAGCAACAGUUAUCUGUUGUAAGAAACAAAGAAUGAUGCUUCACCGAUGAUAGGGAAGCCAGUGUACGUUGACUUAUAUUAGCGUAAGAGAUUCAUUAGAAGGCUGGGAUCACAUUUGACCAAAUGAGGUAGGGAAAUAACAUGUUUAGGUUCCUGGCGAUAG